rnacentral:rRNA from 1 species
GACAUGCAGAGAACUUUCCAGAGAUGGAUUGGUGCCUUCGGGAACUCUGACACAGGUGCUGCACGGCUGUCGUCAGCUCGUGUCGUGAGAUGUUGGGUUAAGUCCCGUAACGAGCGCAACCCUUGUCCUUAGUUACCAGCACGUUAUGGUGGGCACUCUAAGGAGACUGCCGGUGACAAACCGGAGGAAGGUGGGGAUGACGUCAAGUCAUCAUGGCCCUUACGGCCUGGGCUACACACGUGCUACAAUGGUCGGUACAAAGGGUUGCCAAGCCGCGAGGUGGAGCUAAUCCCAUAAAACCGAUCGUAGUCCGGAUCGCAGUCUGCAACUCGACUGCGUGAAGUCGGAAUCGCUAGUAAUCGUGAAUCAGAAUGUCACGGUGAAUACGUUCCCGGGCCUU